UAUUCCUACGGGGCGCAGCAGUCGAGAAUCAAUCACAAUGGGGGAAACCCUGGUGGUGCGACGCCGCGUGGGGGAAUGAAGGUCUUCGGAUUGUAAACCCCUGUCAUGUGGGAGCAAAUUAAAAAGAUAGUACCACAAGAGGAAGAGACGGCUAACUCUGUGCCAGCAGCCGCGGUAAUACAGAGGUCUCAAGCGUUGUUCGUGAUCACUGGGCGUAAAGCGUGCGUAGGCUGUUUCGGAAGUCGUGUGUGAACGCGGCGGGCUCAACCCGCCGACGCCACAUAAUACGG
rnacentral:rRNA from 1 species